rnacentral:rRNA from 1 species
AUUGAACGCUGGCGGCAUGCCUUACACAUGCAAGUCGAACGGCAGCACGGACUUCGGUCUGGUGGCGAGUGGCGAACGGGUGAGUAAUAUAUCGGAACAUACCUUGUAGUGGGGGAUAACUAUCCGAAAGGAUAACUAAUACCGCAUACGCUCUAAGGAGGAAAGUGGGGGAUCGCAAGACCUCAUGUUAUAAGAGUGGCCGAUAUCUGAUUAGCUAGUUGGUGAGGUAAAGGCUCACCAAGGCGACGAUCAGUAGCUGGUCUGAGAGGACGACAAGCCACCCUGGAACUGCGACACGGUCCAGACUCCUACGGGGGGCAUCAGUGGGGAAUUUUGGACAAUGGGGGCAACCCUGAUCCAGCAAUGCCGGGUGAGUGAAGAAGGCCUUCGGGUUGUAAAGCUCUUUUGUCAGGGAAGAAACGGUUGUGGCUAAUAUCCAUGGCUAAUGACGGUACCUGAAGAAUAAGCACCGGCUAACUACGUGCCAGCCGCCGCAGUAAGAC